GCAAUACGUCAGCGGCAGACGGGUGAGUAACGCGUGGGAACGUACCUUUUGGUUCGGAACAACACAGGGAAACUUGUGCUAAUACCGGAUAAGCCCUUACGGGGAAAGAUUUAUCGCCGAAAGAUCGGCCCGCGUCUGAUUAGCUAGUUGGUGAGGUAACGGCUCACCAAGGCGACGAUCAGUAGCUGGUCUGAGAGGAUGAUCAGCCACAUUGGGACUGAGACACGGCCCAAACUCCUACGGGAGGCAGCAGUGGGGAAUAUUGGACAAUGGGCGCAAGCCUGAUCCAGCCAUGCCGCGUGAGUGAUGAAGGCCCUAGGGUUGUAAAGCUCUUUUGUGCGGGAAGAUAAUGACGGUACCGCAAGAAUAAGCCCCGGCUAACUUCGUGCCAGCAGCCGCGGUAAUACGAAGGGGGCUAGCGUUGCUCGGAAUCACUGGGCGUAAAGGGUGCGUAGGCGGGUCUUUAAGUCAGGGGUGAAAUCCUGGAGCUCAACUCCAGAACUGCCUUUGAUACUGAGGAUCUUGAGUUCGGGAGAGGUGAGUGGAACUGCGAGUGUAGAGGUGAAAUUCGUAGAUAUUCGCAAGAACACCAGUGGCGAAGGCGGCUCACUGGCCCGAUACUGACGCUGAGC
rnacentral:rRNA from 1 species